rnacentral:sRNA from 1 species
CCGGACUGUCUGGGUCCCGAAGGAUCUGGGAUCUGAGCGGAAUCGAGUAGCAGAUUGAAUGCCUCGUAAUUACAGUUGCCAUAAGAGUGCUCUUUUUUGGAGUUCCUAGUAUUCUUGCCAUGCAAAGUGGUGCCUUUCGGCUGUAGUAUCUAGUGCCUGGAAAGAGAAUGUCAGCUGAAAUGCUCGCUGGAACGCAACGAAAUCCCCUAAAUCAAUAAAAGUUUCAAUGGCUUAAUACCAAAACGGAAGAAGUCCCUGCCAGCGGCGACGACAGUUGGCCAACUUGUCAACGGAGCAGCGGCACACCUAAUGUGCUUUUGAUAGGCUCCGACUCCCGCAAACCCCUUGGGGUCUACCGCUCUAGCGCCUCCCCACCAGGAAGUCCGAAGGAUGUCCACUGCAGCGGUGGCGCCGGUUCUUGAUAAAUUAUCAUGUGAGCAGGAGCAGCAGCAGCGGAUGCGGCUGGCAGAUGCAGCAUAGAACUAACUAGAUGCUGCAGAGCUGCACCUGCCCGACAGAUGGGUUUUAAUCUAUUUUAAAUGUAUGUAACGGUAAUGGUACGGUGCGACCGGAUGAUGGUUCACAACGACCGUGUCCUUCGAACGGGUCGGUGGGACUUUCGUCCGUUUGUAACGCCAUUUGUCAGCGAUUUAUCAUCCGGCGAGCGGAUUAUUUAUGAUGGAGAUAUACACAUCCGCAUCUGUUCUGACUAUCGAAGAUAGUUGCAUUAAUUGAUUCGUAACGGCAUCCGGAUCAAAGUGAAUUUGUUAAGCCCGCUCAAAAUAAAUGAUACCGACUUUUAAA